AACACAUGCAAGUCGAGGGGCAGCAUGCUCUUAGCUUGCUAAGGCCGAUGGCGACCGGCGCACGGGUGAGUAACACGUAUCCAACCUGCCGUCUACUCUUGGACAGCCUUCUGAAAGGAAGAUUAAUACAAGAUGGCAUCAUGAGUCCGCAUGUUCACAUGAUUAAAGGUAUUCCGGUAGACGAUGGGGAUGCGUUCCAUUAGAUAGUAGGCGGGGUAACGGCCCACCUAGUCUUCGAUGGAUAGGGGUUCUGAGAGGAAGGUCCCCCACAUUGGAACUGAGACACGGUCCAAACUCCUACGGGAGGCAGCAGUGAGGAAUAUUGGUCAAUGGGCGAGAGCCUGAACCAGCCAAGUAGCGUGAAGGAUGACUGCCCUAUGGGUUGUAAACUUCUUUUAUAAAGGAAUAAAGUCGGGUAUGCAUACCCGUUUGCAUGUACUUUAUGAAUAAGGAUCGGCUAACUCCGUGCCAGCAGCCGCGGUAAUACGGAGGAUCCGAGCGUUAUCCGGAUUUAUUGGGUUUAAAGGGAGCGUAGAUGGAUGUUUAAGUCAGUUGUGAAAGUUUGCGGCUCAACCGUAAAAUUGCAGUUGAUACUGGAUAUCUUGAGUGCAGUUGAGGCAGGCGGAAUUCGUGGUGUAGCGGUGAAAUGCUUAGAUAUCACGAAGAACUCCGAUUGCGAAGGCAGCCUGCUAAGCUGCAACUGACAUUGAGGCUCGAAAGUGUGGGUAUCAAACAGGAUUAGAUACCCUGGUAGUCCACACGGUAAACGAUGAAUACUCGCUGUUUGCGAUAUACAGCAAGCGGCCAAGCGAAAGCGUUAAGUAUUCCACCUGGGGAGUACGCCGGCAACGGUGAAACUCAAAGGAAUUGACGGGGGCCCGCACAAGCGGAGGAACAUGUGGUUUAAUUCGAUGAUACGCGAGGAACCUUACCCGGGCUUAAAUUGCAGAUGAAUUACGGUGAAAGCCGUAAGCCGCAAGGCAUCUGUGAAGGUGCUGCAUGGUUGUCGUCAGCUCGUGCCGUGAGGUGUCGGCUUAAGUGCCAUAACGAGCGCAACCCUUGUUGUCAGUUACUAACAGGUUCCGCUGAGGACUCUGACAAGACUGCCAUCGUAAGAUGUGAGGAAGGUGGGGAUGACGUCAAAUCAGCACGGCCCUUACGUCCGGGGCUACACACGUGUUACAAUGGGGGGUACAGAGGGCCGCUACCACGCGAGUGGAUGCCAAUCCCCAAAACCUCUCUCAGUUCGGACUGGAGUCUGCAACCCGACUCCACGAAGCUGGAUUCGCUAGUAAUCGCGCAUCAGCCACGGCGCGGUGAAUACGUUCCCGGGCCUUGUACACACCGCCCGUCAAGCCAUGGGAGCCGGGGGUACCUGAAGUGCGUAACCGCGAGGAGCGCCCUAGGGUAAAACUGGUGACUGGGGCUAAGUCGU
rnacentral:rRNA from 1 species